rnacentral:rRNA from 1 species
UACGUAGGGGGCAAGCGUUGUCCGGAUUUAUUGGGCGUAAAGAGCGUGUAGGCGGCCUGAAAGGUCAGCUGUGAAAACUCGAGGCUCAACCUCGAGACGUCGGUUGAAACCAUCUGGCUAGAGUCCGGAAGAGGAGUGUGGAAUUCCCGGUGUAGCGGUGAAAUGCGCAGAUAUCGGGAAGAACACCUGUGGCGAAAGCGGCUCACUGGACCAUAACUGACGCUGAUGCACGAAAGCUGGGGGAGCAAACAGG